GAUUAUGGCUCAGAACGAACGCUGGCGGCAGGCUUAACACAUGCAAGUUGAACGGGAUUUGUGUGGUGCUUGCACCAUAUAAUGAGAGUAGCGCACUGGUGAGUAACACGUGGGAACGUGCCUUUUAGUGGGGGAUAACAUCUGGAAACGGAUGCUAAUACCGCAUACGCCCUGAGGGGGAAAGAUUUAUUGCUAAGAGGUCGGCCCGCGGUAGAUUAGGCAGUUGGUCGGGUAAAGGCCUACCAAACCUACG
rnacentral:rRNA from 1 species